rnacentral:rRNA from 1 species
UUGAACGCUGGCGGCAUGCUUUACACAUGCAAGUCGAACGGUAACAGGUCUUCGGAUGCUGACGAGUGGCGAACGGGUGAGUAAUGCAUCGGAACGUGCCCAGUCGUGGGGGAUAACGCAGCGAAAGCUGUGCUAAUACCGCAUACGAUCUAUGGAUGAAAGCGGGGGAUCGCAAGACCUCGCGCGAUUGGAGCGGCCGAUGUCAGAUUAGCUAGUUGGUGGGGUAAAGGCCCACCAAGGCGACGAUCUGUAGCUGGUCUGAGAGGACGACCAGCCACACUGGGACUGAGACACGGCCCAGACUCCUACGGGAGGCAGCAGUGGGGAAUUUUGGACAAUGGGCGCAAGCCUGAUCCAGCAAUGCCGCGUGCAGGAAGAAGGCCUUCGGGUUGUAAACUGCUUUUGUACGGAACGAAAAGGUCUGGGUUAAUACCCUGGGCUCAUGACGGUACCGUAAGAAUAAGCACCGGCUAACUACGU